UACAUUUUAGUAUAUGAUGUAUAUUGGCCUUUGAUGCUAAAGGGGAUAGUUUAAUUCUAUUAAAUGUAG
rnacentral:tRNA from 1 species